rnacentral:SRP_RNA from 1 species
GCCGGGUGCAGUGGCGCGCGCCUGUAAUCCAAGCUGCUGGGAGGCUGAGGCUGGCGGAUCACUUGAGUUCAGGGGUUCUGGGCUGCAGUGCACUAUGUCGAUCGGGUGUCCGCGCUAAGUUCGGUAUCGAUAUGGUGCUCCUGGGGGAGCUCGGGACCACCAGGUCGUCUAAGGAGGGGUGAACCGGCCCAGGUCGGAGACGGAGCAGGUCAAAGCCCCCGUGCCGAUCAGUAGUGGGGUCGCACCUGUGAAUAGACACUGCAGUGCAGCCUGAGCGAUACAGCGAGACUCAGACUUUU